ensembl:lncRNA
AGGUAAUUGGCACCCCUUUCCACUCAAAAUGAGAGAGAGCACCAGAGCUCAGCUGUGAACCCCUUCCAGAGGUGCAGUGUAGCCGACUCACACCCCUGACAGAUACAACAGGGAUUAAUGAGCCGUGACCAGAGUUUGAUUUUUCUGUCAAGCGCUCCCAUCCGUUUUUAAUAAACAGAAGAACAACAUAAACUCCAUCACCUGCUCCAGCACGACUUCCUCCAAGCAGGGGCUGCCCCCGGCACCGGGAAGGUGGAGCUGAGCAGUGAUUCUAAACGACCAACAAAUGCUUUUAUGAGCCCCUUUGGUGGGUUGCUCUGGCGAUGGGCUCUGCUCCCUGAGACCCACUUCUCUGCCUGUGUUCAAUAUGGGCCGCUCAGCACUCUGCCAGGGGAAACCGUCAAGUAAGGUUGUCUCCUGCAAGUUCUGGAUUCAGAGCCAAGACGAAGAGAAUUAAGUAGCAGGUGGUGGGAACCAGUUCCUGAGAAACACUGGCUGCCUUAAACACCGCUGACCACAGGAUGUCACCAGUGUUCCAUGGAAAUUCUACCGAAAGGGCAUUUACCUGAGAGAGCCCUGGCUUCAUCGCGUGAAACCGAAGCAGAUCUGGGCCUCGGCUGUCCUUGACGAAGAUGUGGCACCUACAAGCAAACCAGUAAACUUAACAGCCCAGAGCCGCUAUUUAAUUGGCCCUGAAGAGAAGUCACCCUGAGGUGGAGUUAAUAACCAGUGCCAGAUCUUUUUUCCUUCCCUUACUUUAAUUUUCUUUGAAAGCUUCCUGCACGAGCCAUGUGGUGACCAAUAGCUAAUGGAAUUACGUGCUACUCAGCUGCUGUCGUCAUCACAAUGGCCCACACCAGCUGAGGACUCUGCGGGUGCUGGGUAUAGUUACUAAGGGGUCUGCACACAUCGGUUGUGUACCCACCAUGAGGGUGUCACCCCUAGUCUUCAGAUGAGAACACUGAGGGCAUGUUCACAUCCACAGGUGGUCCGUUCCGAAUGACCUGACCCCCACCAGUUCCUGUGAGUUGCUCUGAAUAGAUGCUUUAGGAUCCUGAGAUGUCCCACACACAGAGGCUCAGUCCGUGUGGUUGGGCACUGGAUUCCCAGGUUGAGGUUCAGUCUUUCUGGAAGCGCUCUUCCACACACCUGCGUGUGAUAAGAGAUCUGCUGUGGGGGUGUGUGUGUCCAUGUUUCCUCCCUGGCCAUCCCUUCGUAGAGAAUCGUGAGGCUGGGGGCUUGAUGGAGGAGCAAGGGGCACUGGCCCACCUUUAAUGCCUUUUCUAGUGUGUUGAUCUGACUAAUGAACAGAGCCUGGGUCUUUCCUUCUCCAGAUACAGGGCCCAUUGGCCACUGGCUUCCCAUGAACCUGUGGGCACCCAGCCUGCGCCCCAAGUAGAUGACUUCUAGCUCCCUGUGCCCUCCCCGUCCUGGGGCCUAUGGUGA